rnacentral:rRNA from 1 species
UACGUAGGGCGCAAGCGUUGUCCGGAAUUAUUGGGCGUAAAGAGCUCGUAGGUGGCUUGUCACGUCGGGUGUGAAAGCUUGGGGCUUAACUCCAGGUCUGCAUUCGAUACGGGCUGGCUAGAGGUAGGUAGGGGAGAACGGAAUUCCCGGUGUAGCGGUGAAAUGCGUAGAGAUCGGGAGGAACACCAGAGGCGAAGGCGGCUCGCUGGACAGUGACUGACACUCAACUACGAAAGCGUGGGGAGCAAACAGG